CUUAAUGUCCUAUCAUUUAGCCUUAAAAUUGAAAGAACCUUUAGAAGUCACCUUUUCUAAUCCCUGACCAAAUACUACACAAUUACUUCUACAAUAGGUCCUCUGGUGGUUUUUCCAUUAUAUGGGACAUACUUUAUUACAUACAUCCCCAGUCUUCAGGAGCUUCAUUUCAUUCUAUUUGUUUCACUGAGAUUCAGACCUCAGUUUUAAAAAGUACUACUUUAUUGAGGGGCCCAAAGUUUCAGUUGCUGCCAUUUCCAUCACAAUGUUUUGAUGCAAAACAGAACGCUCCUAUUCUUUCUUCUCCGAUAAUUCUUUGCCACAGUAAGGAUUAAAUGAAUAUUUGACUAAAGAAUGAAAAUGUGAGGAGGACAGCUUUCAGAUUUUCAUAUUUCUUUUCAAGCUAGACAUUGUUCCUUCAAUUAUUACACAAGGGGCAUUUUUUUUUUACAUAGGAGAUGCAAAAAAAUCCAGUUAUUUAGGCAUUGUAAAAUCAAAGAUAAAAAUCUAUGAUUACACCUGAACUUUCUUAUGAUAUGUAUAGCCAAUCUUUUUGGAAGCUUUACACAUCAUAUCACAUUCCCAAAUUCCAGUUCCUGCUAUUGAUAUGAAAAGUUCCUUUUACCAGAAACAUUCAAACAGAAGCUACAUGUUCAUUUGCCUGGAAUACCUCAGAAGGGAUUCUAGCUCUAGGAGAGUAGUUGAAUAAAACGAGGGCUCAAAAUCGCCUGGAAAACUACCACUAAUAGUGUGUUUUCUUUUAUAUAUAGUCUAAAUUAACUUCUGAGCUUUCUCUUCCAACUCAAAUUCAGUAGUAAGUCAUAUGUUCCAUAGCUUAAUAAUUUAAGUACUAUAAUUACUGUUGAUGAUUUUUUUUUUUUUUUUGAGCGGGAGAGCAAUCCUCUAUGAGAUGAUAGUUAAAAAAUGUUUCCCCUGAAUUAACAGGCUGGAACAAGCUGGGAUUACUAGUUUGAAAGCAAUGGUUUUAUUAAAAAAGAA